rnacentral:lncRNA from 1 species
AUGCUUCGUGAUUUCCUGACACCACUUCUCUGGGAUACAGAUCCUGCAGUGCUCAUUGCAGCACCCGCUGGUAUUGGAGGUGUCCUGUGCAGCAGUAGUGGGGCAUUCCCACAGCCUGGAAACAAGCCGCAGCUCUCAUCACCACCAACAUCUCAGCCACGUGAGAAACAGGCCCAAGACAUCAUGCAAACCUCUGCUCUGUCCGAUCCCGAUGCCGUUUUCUCUGUAACCCACGAUGUGCUGCCACGGGUGCAGCAUUACGGCUGCUCACUGACCCUGCGAGCCGGGUGCCUUCUUCCCUCUCCCCACUGAAAACAGCCCUUAGGAGAAGCUUCAGCACAAGGUACGUUCCAAGGGGAGAGCAGAAACACGACGGCAUUUUACACAUUUCUUUUGGCUGGAGAAAAGUUACAAAAUAUGCA